rnacentral:tRNA from 1 species
CAGGGAGACAACAAAAUGUUUAAUAUUAUUAUUUUGUCACCUUAGGUCGAUCGGUAUCUCAUGUUCUUAAUUUAUUAAGAAUUUCAUUUCCUAAGUUUUUCUAGGUCACACCCAUUAUUUUUCCUGGGCCAUUAGCUCAGGUGGUUAGAGCGCACCCCUGAUAAGGGUGAGGUCCCUGGUUCAAGUCCAGGAUGGCCCAUAUCUCUAUGUUGGGGGUAUAGCUCGGUUGGUAGAGCGCCCGCUUUGCAAGCAGGAUGUCAGCGGUUCGAGUCCGCUUACCUCCACUGAUUACCACCUCUUCCAUAAUCUGUAGAAAGGAAAUUUUUUGAGUUGUGAUCAACUUCUGAACGAAUCUAGCUUCCUAAUGAAAGCAUUAAGAUGCUGGACUCAUUGAAUUAAUUUCAUUGUUUUCAGAGAACCUUGACAACUGCAUAGAUUAUUUUUAAAGACAAUAAGCAUCUUUAAUGAUGCAGAUUUAUUAUUUGUGCAAAUGCAUUAAUAACAAUUCUAUUAAGCUGAUGCUUCAAUUUUGAAGUUAUU